rnacentral:rRNA from 1 species
GUGGGAUACUACCCUGGUUGUAUUGAAAUUCUAACCCGCAGCCCUGAUCGGGCUGGGAGACAGUGUCAGGUGGGCAGUUUGACUGGGGCGGUCGCCUCCUAAAGAGUAACGGAGGCGCCCAAAGGUUCCCUCAGAAUGGUUGGAAAUCAUUCGUAGAGUGUAAAGGCACAAGGGAGCUUGACUGCGAGACCUACAAGUCGAGCAGGGACGAAAGUCGGGCUUAGUGAUCCGGUGGUUCCGCAUGGA